rnacentral:rRNA from 1 species
GACGAACGCUGGCGGCGUGCUUAACACAUGCAAGUCGAGCGGUAAGGCCCUUUCGGGGGUACACGAGCGGCGAACGGGUGAGUAACACGUGGGUGACCUGCCUUUAGCUCUGGGAUAAGCCUGGGAAACUGGGUCUAAUACCGGAUAUGACUCCGCGGUGCAUGCUGUGGGGUGGAAAGCCCUGUGCGGCUGGAGAUGGGCCCGCGGCCUAUCAGCUUGUUGGUGGGGUNAUGGCCUACCAAGGCGACGACGGGUAGCCGGCCUGAGAGGGCGACCGGCCACACUGGGACUGAGACACGGCCCAGACUCCUACGGGAGGCAGCAGUGGGGAAUCUUGCGCAAUGGGCGAAAGCCUGACGCAGCGACGCCGCGUGAGGGAUGACGGCCU